rnacentral:rRNA from 2 species
CACACGACUCUCGGCAACGGAUAUCUCGGCUCUCGCAUCGAUGAAGAACGUAGCAAAAUGCGAUACCUGGUGUGAAUUGCAGAAUCCCGCGAACCAUCGAGUUUUUGAACGCAAGUUGCGCCCGAGGCCUUUUGGUUGAGGGCACGCCUGCCUGGGCGUCACGCC